AGACUGGUUGAACGGUGGCGUUGAGCGGAAACGUCGAUGCGCUCCUGUGGAACGAAGGCACUUUGAUGGCGAGUGUCUCGUCGGGAUCUUGGUCAAUCUUCUUCAGAUAGGAGGACGUGGUGCAUUGAAGUUCAAAAGAACUGCGCUGGGAGGUUGCUUUGUGAGAGCGGUGGUGAACGCCAGGUGGUUUGCAGGGCGAGCGGGUGCGGACGUAACCGAACCGCGUUCCCGUUGGUGGCGAAAGGUUCCCGGCUUACGAUCAGGCUGCACAGCGCCCGCAGAACUCGAGCUUAAUUGGCAAACCUGGUGCACAGGGACCCGUUGCGGAUAGUUUUCGUAGCAGUCAGACGUCGGGCGCCUCAUUAUAUUGAACAAGCCCCACAAUGAGCGUGUUCGGUUAAACUGGGGCACUGAACGGCUCGCUCUAUUCCUAGCUCGAGAUUUUUCCGUACCCUUUCUAAGAUUUAUAGUAUCACCAUUCGAAGUGCAGGAGUAUGGGCUUGCGGUUGCAUACGCAGUUUUGGGGUUCUCGGUCUGUAGGUCGGAGGGGCUCCUUCGAAUCUCUCUGCCGCUGGAACUCGGCAUGUCACCGGAACCAAGAUGAUGAUUCGCGACAUCGUCGAUCGAAGAAUCCGAAAACGCAAUCGACAUGAUCAUCCAAUUCAUAGGUGCAGGCUUCAACGCUUACCGUUUCCAUACGUGAAGCAAGCUCAAGUCACACAUUCUUCAAGGUUUCUGAAAUUCUGUUUCAAGGCAACACAUGGGCGCAGCAAUUCGAGUCUCUGUACUAGCGACAUGUAAUCAUAAUCGACGUCGUCUUUCGAGGAGUUUUGCACGCGCUUGAGCUGAACACCAACUGACCACUUUACGUCAAAUGAUUGAUUCCGUUGGAAAGACAAGUGCCUCUCGCUUUGUGUCAUCGGCGAAAAGGCAUUCGACAGCAGCUUGAAACCUCUCACGGGAUAUGGUACCAGAGGCCUCCGUGUCUUGCGUUUGGAUCGGAAAGGCGUAUUGGCUUGGACUUGAGUCAUCAUAGCUCUCGCUUCCAGUGCAGCGUGCGUCGCCUUUUAGCACGAAGCGAGCCUAAACGAAUCGGCAUUUCUCGCGUUCUUCUCAUGCCGAGAAUUGGCUUCCGGUAUUUGUGUCAUCGUGGACAACAUCGCGUUUCACCAAACUGUCAUCGAAUGGAACAGCGUGUACUUGCGCGUACAGCGGACAGCAUACGCACCGAGGGCAUCUCCCAGAAGAAGUCCAUGAUCGUCGGGCAGGGCGCCGGGCGCGGAAACAUAGGACUACAUAUAGGAGAGCCUUGUAUACCAAUCAAGACGGUGUACCGAGAAGUGAAGCAGGCGCUCACCCGCCACAUGUUGGCACUCGGAGGUGUGAUGGACAUUUCGGAACACCCGACAACACCCAUGUAUCACCGAUGCGAAGCAUGCACUCAGGCUGUAUACCAACAGGAUGCAAAAAGUGAGAGGGGCGUAGAUCUAUUCUUUCGCCUGUGCUUGGAAAUCUUAGAAAAUGACAGGAAGCUGCGAAAUCGGGACUUGAACGCUGCCAUCAACUUACUUCGACUGCUGGUGACCGAGCUGGAUGGGCAUGAGAGAGCGGUGCCUUUAAAGCCGAGGGCGUGAUCGAGGAAAAAUGAGAUCAAUUGCAGAAAAAACCCUUAGAGUCUGGUGGUGAUCAUGCUGUAGAGAAACCAAAACUUUAGCGUCUGCGCUUGUGUUGGCUGAAUGAACCUGAUGAACUGUAACAAGACAGGGGUGUAGCGUGAAACGAAACGAAGUGGUUUAUGUGAUAGUCGUUCCCGUUCCAAACCCUGUUGACGCUAACAAGUCUCUUCGUGCAACUAUAGCCUUUAGUGCGCGUAAACGCGGAAGCAAAC